rnacentral:sRNA from 1 species
AGACCUCCGUAGAUCAAGGCUGAAGCAGACGCAGAUUGCAAAAAAGCGGGAUGACGUUUGAAGGUCAUCCCGC